UACGUAGGGGGCUAGCGUUGUCCGGAAUCAUUGGGCGUAACGCGCGUGUAGGCGGUCCGGUAAGUCCGCUGUGAAAGUCGGGGGCUCAACCCUCGGAUGCCGGUGGAUACUGUCGGGCUUGAGUACGGAAGAGGCGAGUGGAAUUCCUGGUGUAGCGGUGAAAUGCGCAGAUAUCAGGAGGAACACCAAUUGCGAAGGCAGCGCGCUGGGACGUUACUGACGCUGAGACGCGAAAGCGUGGGGAGCAAACAGG
rnacentral:rRNA from 1 species